UACAGAGGUCUCAAGCGUUGUUCGGAUUCAUUGGGCGUAAAGGGUGUGUAGGUGGCGCCGUAAGUCGGGUGUUGAAAUUUCGGAGCUUAACUCCGAAACUGCAUUCGAUACUGCGGUGCUUGAGGACUGGAGAGGAGACUGGAAUUCAUGGUGUAGCAGUGAAAUGCGUAGAGAUCAUGAGGAAGACCAGUGGCGAAGGCGGGUCUCUGGACAGUUCCUGACACUGAGACACGAAGGCCAGGGGAGCAAACGGG
rnacentral:rRNA from 1 species